GACGAACGCUGGCGGCGUGCUUAACACAUGCAAGUCGAACGAUGACGGUGGUGCUUGCACCGCCUGAUUAGUGGCGAACGGGUGAGUAACACGUGAGUAACCUGCCCUCCACUUCGGGAUAACCUCGGGAAAUCGUGGCUAAUACCGGAUAUGAGCACUCAUCGCAUGGUGAGUGCUGGAAAGAUUUAUCGGUGGGGGAUGGACUCGCGGCCUAUCAGUUUGUUGGUGAGGUGAUGGCUCACCAAGAGGAUGACGGGUAGCCGGCCUGAGAGGGCGACCGGCCAAACUGGGGCUGAGACACGGACCAGACUCCUACGGGAGGCAGCAGUGGGGAAUAUUGCACAAUGGGCGAAAGCCUGAUGCAGCGACGCCGCGUGGGGGAUGACGGCCUUCGGGUUGUAAACCCCUUUCAGUAGGGAAGAAGCGAGAGUGACGGUACCUGCAGAAGAAGCGCCGGCUAACUACGUGCCAGCAGCCGCGGUAA
rnacentral:rRNA from 1 species